rnacentral:tRNA from 1 species
GACUUCGAGGCGCAAUGGUAGCGCGUCAAACUUAAGAUCAGAAAGUUGCGUGUUCAAAUCACGUCGGGGUAA